UGUGUCCUUCGCUUUCUCUCAAAGUUCUUGAUCUUUCGGAUUUUUUCAUCGCUAUAUUUUUAGAUUUUGUGUUAAAAUUUCAGUUCAAUAAACAAAACUGAUAUAGUUAUCAUUACCAAACAGAUUUGCGCUACAUGGGAUACAAGUAUCUUGGCUAUUCUGGUCUGAUUCGCGAUGCUAUGGACAAGAGAAGUGCCCAACACUACUACUGCAAUGAUUUUAUUUUGAACAACUGGUCAUCUUUUUCACCAAAAACAAAUGUCUUAUGGUUGUCCUAUGUUAUUGCCAAACUAGUGGAAAGCGUGAAAUAUAAAAGUACAAAUACAAAGAUUCACAGAAUGUACAUUCAGAAGCUAAAUGAAUUACAAAGCAUUAUACUGACUUUUGAGAGUGCCGUACACUGCGCCAUACAUCUGUUUAAUAUUAGUGAAUGAGCGAACUGAUAAAAUUUUCAUAACGCAUCUUUUAAUUGGUUUGCUUUCGUUUCUUAUCUUUAAGAGCUACAGGUGUCCACCAUUAUAAUAAAUAACUCUUAAUAUGCGCCCAGGCAUUAAAUGAAGCAAGUUUGGAGAACCAAUCCCUCGAUUCUGUCCCAUUCAGCUACAAUUGCUUCCAUUAAUUCUUUUAUGGUCAUAAACCUUGCUCAAAGUUUUCUAUACGGUUUAGAUUCGGAUUUUUGGUCUGCUCACAGCAGGAUAAUUUCUUCUUUCUUCAAAAAACCAUUAAAUAUUUUGCAAUUUCAGUAUAUAAGAAGUUGACAGUGGAAGCGUUUUAUGAUGAAAUUUCGGAAACUCAUAUGACCAUGAGUUAUUGGCUUUAUUGACAGAACUGAAACCAAAACCAUGGCAAUGCAGACCAAAAAAAGGAGGAAACCAAACACAGACAUUCAUAUUAGAACAAGAGAACUAAGCAGGUUAACUCUGGAGUUUGCAGCAGGCAACAACAUCAAGGGAAUACCAGAAACAAAGGGUAGAUGGCAAACGCACAAAUCGGAGUUUCUAAAAAAGGAGAUAGAAUACCUGGGUCAUGCAACGACUCAGAAAGGUUUUAAACCAAACCCGAAGAAGAUUUAAGCCUAAGCUUUUCUCAUUACUGGCUAAUGGGCUUUAAGAAGCCCAAUUCCAAGUUAGUGAGUUGGAAACUGCAACUAUUGGAAUAUGCUUAUAAAGUUUUUGAGAAAGAAUCGCAAAAUUUGGUGGCAGACGCUAUCAGAAGAAUAGAGCUACAAAUCCACAAUAGUGAGCUGUAUUGAAACCAAACUACGUGUGCAAAUACUAAUAAGGGUAUAGACUCUGAAUGAAGAAUUCAGGUGGCGGAAAUAUGUGAGAUUGGGCCCAAAUGGUGGAAUCACCUUUUAGAAACAAAACUAAAAGAGCGAUAACUGAACCGAAUUUCGAAAAGGAGCAAAUUGCUAGGAUUAUAUACAAGAAUCAUUUGAAGAAUAUGUGCCUAGCAGACAUUGAUGAGAAAGGAAAUGAGGAAGUGUAACACUUCAAGAAAUUAUGAGACAUUUUGGGAGCUGAGACGUAUAUGAAAAAAAGGUCAUCAAUAAGUGGAGUACAAUAAAGUAUCCCUGCCAUACCACUAAAUAGUAUUUCAGAAGACUCCCAUUACGACGUUAGAUAUUGUACAUACUGAUCUGUACACAAUUAACAAAAACUAUGUUAUGAAGAUGUUAGUACGAUAAAGUAUACCUGACAUACCCCUAAAUAGUAUUUCAGAAGACUCCCAUUAAGACGUUAGAUAUUGUACAUACUGAUCUGUAUACAAUUAACAAAAACUAUUUUAUGUCAGUUAUAAAUAAUUCUUUAGGCUUGCAAUACAAUACCAAAUAGAUAUGGUAUAAAAAUUGUAAAAUCAAUAAACAAAUUAGUAAGCCACUAUUGUGUCCCCAAGAAACUUAUUUGUGACCAAGGGUCUGAGUACGAUUCAAGUUUAUAUAAACAUUUUUGCAGACUGCAUGGAACUAGUUGUAUGUGGUGUCUUUUUAACAAUGGUCUAGUAACUCAACGGUAGUGGAAUUACUUUCUAGACUAAUAUAAAUUUAUAGAAUUUUUGAGGGAAUGAUUUAAAAUUGUAAUGUGACCAUGAGGAAAUUUUGGACGAGGUUUUCUAAAUUAAAACCUAUUGAACGCCAGUUUUUGAGAAAUCACCUUCGAUACAGAACAUGAAUACUUCAAAAAGCUUGAUGAGUAUCGAGAGGAGAUUUAUAAAAUUUUAAGGAGCAGCUUGGGCCAAACAAAAAAAAAAAACAAAUUGAACAAGGAAAGAGAGGAACCACUGUAGUUGCAAAGAAGAGAUUAAGUUUAUAGAAAGGAAUACAGAAGGAAUAAGAUAACGCCUAGGUUUACAACACAAGCAAUCGAACAAGACAUGGCAGUUAGGAGUAGGACGAAAAGGAAACAAGAAAUUCAAAAGUCCCAGCUAAGAAAUCGUAUUCAAAAACUAUAACUAAUUACAUCAAAAAAUUACAAAUAAAUUUCGACCCAAGGACAGAAUUGGAUUAAUAUUAAGUGUAGGAAACUGUGUCAGCUGAUCGGAAUUCGAGCCCAACAAGGAAACCAUAAAUUCACCACGACGCGAGAUGGAUUGCGUCGUAUGUUGAGUUCAAGAAGGAACCGAAAAGCACGUGUUAUUACUGGACUGUUACAUUGGCGACGAGGAUUAAAGACUAUUACGGAACUACUGACGCAUAAGGAACGAAACUAAGUAUUAAUAAAAUAAACGCCGGCUGUCGAAGAAUA